GGCCAGGUAGCUCAGUUGGUACGAGCGUCCGCCUGAAAAGCGGAAGGUCGCCGGUUCGAUCCCGGCCCUGGCCACCA
rnacentral:tRNA from 470 species